UCAUCUUGGCAGGGUGCAAUGUGGUGUUCGGGAGGGUCCAUUCGCGCCUUGAGCUCUGGUGUCCAAGUCCCCCUGACCGGGGCCAUCGCCCGUUGAGGGUGCAAGGCCUGUUGGGCAGGGCUGUGUCUCCGAUCUCGGCGCGUCGGGUCCCUUCCUUGGAGUCGGGUUGCUUGAGAGUGCAGCCCAAAGUGGGUGGUAAACUCCACCUAAGGCUAAAUACUUUCCACGAGACCGAUAGCAAACAAGUACCGUGAGGGAAAGUUGCAAAGAACUUUGAAGAGAGAGUUCAAGAGUGCGUGAAACCGUUCGGAGGUAAACGGGUGGGAGCGCGAAGGUCGAACGGAUGGGGAGGGAUUCAACUUGGCGUGGCGGCUGGCCGAGCUUGGUUCGUGUCUGGGCGUGCGGGCUCUCCCUUAACGGGGAGCUGCCUGCCGCCCCGCGUUCCGCUCCGGCCGUAGUCCGCCGUGCCUUGUGCAUUUCCCUAUUACCGCUCCCCCAGUAGGACGCCACGACAGCCUGUCCAUUGGAACCCAAGAGAUGGCGAGAUCUGCAGCGCGGACGAGUAAGGGAUCAGUUCUCUGCGUCCGGUCUGUCUGUCUCCUUCCGCCCGCGGGUCGCUCCCUCCGGCCGAGGAACUGUGCGAGCUGGGCCCCUUCGGGGGUCCCUCGUCCAUGUGCGUGCCCACGAUCUGUCGGUGCGGGUCGAAAGAUCCCAACGGGUGGCGGCGGGUGGCCGCGCGCCAGUCUCCGGACUGCGCGUGCGGACUCCGCGUGUCAGCCGCCGUCGGUCAGGGUGCGGACUCCCGCAGUUGGGCGCUGGG
rnacentral:rRNA from 1 species